ensembl:miRNA
AAAAGUUAGUUCAGGUUUUUCUGUAAGAUGUUAUGGAAAAACCCAAAGGAACUUUUUGGC